UCAGUAAUGACUUUAAUGAAAAGUGGGUGCACAAAUUGUAAUUUUUUGGGAUCUUCUCUUAUCCACACAGGCUCAAAAUUAUACAUGCAGGCUCAAAUA